GUGUCAGCCGCCGCGGUAAUACGGAGGGUGCAAGCGUUAUCCGGAUUCACUGGGUUUAAAGGGUGCGUAGGCGGGUAGGUAAGUCAGUGGUGAAAUCCUGGAGCUCAACUCCAGAACUGCCAUUGAUACUAUCUAUCUUGAAUAUUGUGGAGGUAAGCGGAAUAUGUCAUGUAGCGGUGAAAUGCUUAGAUAUGACAUAGAACACCCAUUGCGAAGGCAGCUUACUACGCAUAUAUUGACGCUGAGGAACGAAAGCGUGGGGAUCAAACAGGAUUAGAAACCCCUGUAGUCC
rnacentral:rRNA from 1 species